AUAUCUCCAAAGACCCAGGGCAAGAACUUGUGGACAACCUCAGCUGGCCUGGCCUGGCCUGGCCCACUCGCUUUCCAUCCCCACCACCACCGAGACAGGAUGUCACUGUGUAGUGAACACUUGGAAUAAAAAAUAAAGAUGGGCUGAACCGGGAAAUUCUGUCUCAGGGUCCCAACAUCAGAACCCCGAGAGUGCCUGGGUGUCACCAGCAACAUACUGGGAGCCAGCUGCCUACACCAAUCAAAAACAGAGACCACAAAGUCUGCAGGGGUGAGAGAGGCCUCUUCAGUGUCUAUGAUUUCAUCGUGGACAUUACUGUCGAUUUCUCUUCCUGCCCCUGUAUGAGUGGGUCUAUCGCCAUCCCGCCGUCUCAGGCUCCUGUGUUGUGAAGACAGUCUCAUGCAGCGCAGACCAAUCUCAAAUUCACUAGGUAAGCUGAGGCUGGCCUUGAAUCAGCCUCCAUCUCCUAAGAGCUGGGAAACCGCCUCUGGAGCCUCACCCAGCUUCACUUUCACCACCCCAGCCAAUCCUGUGACUCCUCUUCAUAGCGAGAGCGUUGACACUUACGUUCUGAGUGUGAAAAAAAAAAUCACAUAACACGUCCUACUGGAACCUUGCCCGGGUCGGCUGAGGAGUGUGUGCUUACCAGUCUGCAGGUUUGCCUAAGUUGGUUUGUUUUAGAGACAAGGUCUUGCUCCAUUGCCUAAGCCAGCUUGAAACUCUUAGGCUCAAACAGUUCUCCUGCUCCAUCUUUCUAGAGCAGCUGGGACUCUAGGCAUGCUCCACUACAGCUGACUGAAGCUUUAUUGAAUGAAUGAAUGAAUGAAUGAAUGAAUGAGUUACUACCUCUGAGGGACCCUCCUCAGGGCCUUCUAAACUCUGUACUUUAAUUAGUUGCUCAGAGGUGUCUCCAUGCCUCAGUUUCCCCAUCUGUAAUAGUAAAUGAGUUUAUGGGCAUGGUGUGCUUGGAGCAAGAACAAAACCAUCCUGGCAUAUACUCUACAGGGACUCCUCAGGGUCUAGCCCUUUGGCAUCAGACUAUUGAGAUAAAGGUUCCCCCAGGAUUCGGAAUUCCCUCCCCCACAGGAGUCUCAUGCUCAGAGAAGAUCAAAAGCUAAAGCAUGCUGCCAGCCAGAGAGGGUACUUGUCUAUCAGGGAGGAAUUUCUACACAGGACAGACUGGAGCCCAGACUGGUCUGAGUCAGUGACAGACGGCACAGCACAUGGUGGGACAACCUGGCUGUGCACCUCUCUCAAGCCUCAACCUCAGUCUGAAGGUGGAUUGGGGGAGCGGGGUCCCCCUUCUCGCUGUGGCCACAGCGACUAAGUCUCUCUGCUUUUUCACUAUGUAGCUCCAUCACUGCCUUACUGGGGGGCGGUGGCCAGGCCACUGGGGCCCUGCCCCUGAUAACAAGAAUGAGCAAUUCUGAUUGCCAGGAACUGAGGAUGCUCUUGCCGGUCAGCGUCUCCAGCACCCAGAGACCCUGGGGCUGCCGUCAAGGGGGUUCAAUAAACACUUAUUGAUUGAGCCAACAAUGCCGGGAUUGGACCUGCAAAAGAGAAAAUGGACAGACAAGACAGUGAGCCUGCAGGUGAAGCCAGAACUGGAGCCAACAGUCUACCUCUCUCUCCCAGCCCUAGCAAGGCCAGCAGCUGUCUGGGAGAGGGGCACAGUUGCUUCCAGUUGGCAGAACCAGUCUCCAGGCUUCCCUUCAGAACCCAGCACCUGCUGAGCCACCCACACACGGACUGUCUCUCUCUGGAAGGCAGUUCACCUCUGGGUUUCAACACUGCCCUUUUCCUUUUCCUUCUCUCACCCUCAGGAAUCCCUGAAAGCUUCUUAUGUUUGUGACUUCUGUGACAUCUCAACAUCUCUUGUGCGUGCGUGUGCACACACACACACACACCAGCCUGAGUCUAAGCAGUUCAUCCUGUAAACUGUCUCUCUGAUAAAAUAACUGAUUCAGUUUCUGUCACCUGCUGAGGCUCUAGCUGGUCUGCCCUCAGACCUCUUAAAGCUGAGGCUCAGAAGCACACAGUGAGGUGCAGGAACCUGGUCCCAGGCCCUGGCUUGCUGGAGCGAAGGAAUCUAUUGCUUCAGCCACUCCGGUCAGAAUCCCUCAGAGAUUGAUGUGAUAUGCGCAGUGACACCUAAUCAGGCUUGGAAAACUGGGCCAACAGUUAAGCCACACAAAGGAACUAACCACAGCUCCACUGGCAACUGGCUCCUUGGCAAGUGCCAAAACAAACAGCUGUGGCGCAGGCCUUCCCCAGGCUGCCGGCUUCCUGGACACUGGCAGAGGGCACUCGAGAAGGGGUUACCUGGGUGGGGUGUUGUUCAGUUGGUAGAACGUUUACUAGCGUUCCAUGAAGCCCAGAGUUCUGUCUGCACCUCAUACCUGUGACCCUAGCAGUUGGGAAAAGACAGCAGGCAGGAUCAGAAGUUCAAGGCCAUCCUCCCCUUUAUAAAGUGAGCUGAGGCAGCCUGGGACACAUCUCCUAAAUGAAAAGAGCCCUGAGCUAUCUGGCGUUUGCUUUAUGGAAGUCCAAGUCUCCCCCUCAUUCCUCUCAAGAUUCUCUGAACCUGGCUGUUCUCUUUUGCGAUAGUUUAGAACAUUCUAGCCAAAGCGCUGAAUAUAAAAUACAAGUCAAAAGCAAUGAGCAUAUGUUAGAUGGUUGAAGGAGGGCUGAAAAAUGCUGGUUCUGGGGAUGAAAAAUGGCUCAGCAGUUAAGAGCACUGGCUGCUUUUACAGAGGACCUGCUUUCAGUUCACAGCAACCGCACCACGGCUCACAAGCAACCUUCACUCCUGUUCCAGGAAAUCCAAUGCCCUCUUCCGACUUCUGUAGGCACCAGGCAAGCACACAAUGCACAGAGAAGCAUGCAGGCAAAACACACACGUGU
rnacentral:lncRNA from 1 species